GUCAAUCUCAACCCGGAGGAGACCGAUUCAAUUACGUGGAAGCUCACCAAUGAUGGCCAAUAUUCAGCGGCGUCGGCUUAUAAUACACAAUUCCUUGGGCUAGUGGACACGGACAUGCCUCUGUUAGUGUGGCAGAACUGGGCUCCUCCCAAAUGCAAUUUUUUUGCUUGGUUGGUCAUCAACAACAGAGUUUGGACGGCUGACAGGCUUCAGCGAAGGGGUUGGCCAAAUUGUAAUCUUUGUCCUCUUUGCAAGCAAACUCCGGAAUCGACGGCACACCUUCUUUUCCAAUGCCGCUACACCAUCCGUGUGUGGGGAAUGAUUAAAUCUUGGCUCGGUUUACAAGAUGUACACCCAGCGAACUGGGGGGGUUUGACUUCGGUCAAAGAGUGGUGGCGCGCCAAUGCUUCUGGGACCUCACGACCACGAAGGGCGCUGACUUCCAUCAUGCUACUGACUUCUUGGGAAAUAUGGAAAGAGCGAAAUGCACGUGUGUUCCGUAACAACGCAAUUCCAGUGGGUGGUGCCGUGCCGGGGCAAAAUAUUUGUGUAAUGUAA
rnacentral:rRNA from 1 species